rnacentral:rRNA from 1 species
AGAGCGAACGCUGGCGGCAGGCCUAAUACAUGCAAGUCGAACGAACCCUUCGGGGUUAGUGGCGGACGGGUGAGUAACACGUGGGAACGUGCCCUUUGGUUCGGAACAACUCAGGGAAACUUGAGCUAAUACCGGAUAAAGCCCUUCGGGGGAAAGAUUUAUCGCCAUUGGAGCGGCCCGCGUCUGAUUAGCUAGUUGGUGAGGUAAAGGCUCACCAAGGCUUCGAUCAGUAGCUGGUCUGAGAGGAUGAUCAGCCACACUGGGACUGAGACACGGCCCAGACUCCUACGGGAGGCAGCAGUAGGGAAUCUUGCGCAAUGGGCGAAAGCCUGACGCAGCCAUGCCGCGUGAAUGAUGAAGGUCUUAGGAUUGUAAAAUUCUUUCAGCGGGGACGAUAAUGACGGUACCCGCAGAAGAAGCCCGGCUAACUUCGCGCCAGCAGCCGC